rnacentral:rRNA from 1 species
ACCGGAGUGGACGCAUCACUGGUGUUCGGGUUGUCAUGCCAAUGGCACUGCCCGGUAGCUAAAUGCGGAAGAGAUAAGUGCUGAAAGCAUCUAAGCACGAAACUUGCCCCGAGAUGAGUUCUCCCUGAGACUUUAAGUCUCCUGAAGGAACGUUAAAGACGAUGACGUUGAUAGGCCGGGUGUGUAAGCGCAGCGAUGCGUUGAGCUAACCGGUACUAAUGAACCGUGAGGCUUAACCUUACAACGCCGAAG